rnacentral:rRNA from 1 species
GAUGAACGCUGGCGGCGUGCCUAAUACAUGCAAGUCGAGCGAACGGACGAGAAGCUUGCUUUUCUGAUGUUAGCGGCGGACGGGUGAGUAACACGUGGAUAACCUACCUAUAAGACUGGGAUAACUUCGGGAAACCGGAGCUAAUACCGGAUAAUAUUUUGAACCGCAUGGUUCAAAAGUGAAAGACGGUCUUGCUGUCACUUAUAGAUGGAUCCGCGCUGCAUUAGCUAGUUGGUAAGGUAACGGCUUACCAAGGCAACGAUGCAUAGCCGACCUGAGAGGGUGAUCGGCCACACUGGAACUGAGACACGGUCCAGACUCCUACGGGAGGCAGCAGUAGGGAAUCUUCCGCAAUGGGCGAAAGCCUGACGGAGCAACGCCGCGUGAGUGAUCAAGGUCUUCGGAUCGUAAAACUCUGUUAUUAGGGAAGAACAUAUGUGUAAGUAACUGUGCACAUCUUGACGGUACCUAAUCAGAAAGCCACGGCUAACUACGUG